rnacentral:piRNA from 1 species
UUGAUGUGACGUUAUGUUGGGUGGUAUUA